GGUGCGAAGUAAAAUUUUUUUCUCCCUCUUCAAUUUUUUGCCCUCACCUCUACCUAGAGAAUGAGGAAGCACUAGAAUAUCAUCUUCUCCCUCGGUUCAUGGUUAGAGUCAUCAAAAUGGAAUCAAGAGAUAUCAAAAUGGGGAAAUCUAGGACUUCGAGCACAAAGUGGCGGUGGCAACGAACUUGCUGGUUAUUUUAGGAUUGGAUGGUGGAACCACUUCUACUGUCUACAUUUGUAUGUCAAUUAUGCCUUUCUCUGAUGCCCUUCCCGACCCUCUUCCUGUUCUCACCCAUGCCAUUGCUGGCUACUCCAAUCAUAACAGCGUCGA